CCUACGGGUGGCAGCAGUGGGGAAUAUUGCACAAUGGGCGAAACCCUGAUCCAGCGACGCCGCGUGAGUGAAGAAGUAUUUCGGUACGUAAAGCUCUAUCAGCAGGAAAGAAAAUGACGGUACCGUACUAAGAAGCACCGGCUAACUACGUGCCAGCACCCGCGGUGAUGCGUAGGGGGCAAGCGUUAUCCGGAUUUGCUGGGUGGAAAGGGAGCGGAGACGGCGGCGCAAGUCUGGAGUGAAAUGCCGGGGCCAAACCCCGGAACUGCUCUGGAAACUGGGACGCUGGAGUGCAGGAGAGGUAAGCGGAAUUCCUGGUGUAGCGGUGGAAUGCGUAGAUAUCAGGAGGAACACCGGCGGCGAAGGCGGCUUACUGGACUGUAACUGACGUUGAGGCGCGAAGGCGUGGGGAGCAAACAGGAUUAGAUACCCCUGUAGUC
rnacentral:rRNA from 1 species